rnacentral:sRNA from 1 species
AGCCGAGCCUCCCGCCGUCGCCAUGGGCCAGAACGACCUGAUGGGCACGGCCGAGGACUUCGCCGACCAGUUCCUCCGUGUCACAAAGCAGUACCUGCCCCACGUGGCGCGCCUCUGUCUGAUCAGCACCUUCCUGGAGGACGGCAUCCGUAUGUGGUUCCAGUGGAGCGAGCAGCGCGACUACAUCGACACCACCUGGAACUGCGGCUACCUGCUGGCCUCGUCCUUCGUCUUCCUCAACUUGCUGGGACAGCUGAACGAUUGCCUACAGCAUUUUAUGGGACUUGAAGUUUUUGAUGAGGAACCUGGCCCUGGGAGGAGGCCUGUUGCUGCUCCUAGCAGAAUCCCGUUCUGAAGGGAAGAGCAUGUUUGCGGGCGUCCCCACCAUGCGUGAGAGCUCCCCCAAACAGUACAUGCAGCUCGGAGGCAGGGUCUUGCUGGUUCUGAUGUUCAUGACCCUCCUUCACUUUGACGCCAGCUUCUUUUCUAUUGUCCAGAACAUCGUGGGCACAGCUCUGAUGAUUUUAGUGGCCAUUGGUUUUAAAACCAAGCUGGCUGCUUUGACUCUUGUUGUGUGGCUCUUUGCCAUCAACGUAUAUUUCAACGCCUUCUGGACCAUUCCAGUCUACAAGCCCAUGCAUGACUUCCUGAAAUACGACUUCUUCCAGACCAUGUCGGUGAUCGGGGGCUUGC